ensembl:lncRNA
CUCACUCGCUCACAAAACUUUAUUUGAACGCGCUCGCGUAAAAUAUAAAUAAAUAAAUAAACAAAUCACAUGACAUUGUACAUUGUACACAUGACCCAAAUGAAAAAGUUUUUAAUAAUUCACGAGGCUUGAAAGUUUUUUUUCACUGUCACGCUAUGACAUCAUGUAUAAAAUAUAUCUUAGCCUGCAUAUACAGUAUAAAUAUAUAAACUAUAUAUUUAUACUAAACUCGCUAGGCUGAGCUCGUCGCGCAGUGAUGUAUUUAUAAUUUAGACAUCAUCAUCAUCAUCAUCAUCAUCAUCACCAUUCCGUUGUAUAAUAAAGACGGGGGAAAUCAAAGCAGCGAGGGCUCCGAGAGGGACCGAUGGAGAGGUGAGCUCUGCAAUGGAGGACGGCUACUUCCUGUUCCUGCUGGAGUGACCCGCAGGUCUGAGGAGGAGCGAGAGACAGAGCGAGGGAGAGGGAGAGAGAGCACGAGAAACAGAGAGAGAGAGAGUGAGAGAGAGAAAGCUGCUGGAAGAUCAGUGAGUGUGAGAGGAUCUUGUGCACUUCAGCGAAUAGCCGACAGAGGGAGGCCUCCUCAGAUACAUAACCAUGAAGCCAAAACUGAACACCAGAGCUUUUUCUACUUCACAGCUGUAAGUCUAAAAUUUUAAUUAUGCUGCCUGACAGGCGCAGUGCGUGAUGCACGGCCCCGCAUUCAUCACGGUGAGAGGGCCGGUGGCGCCGGCCGCCAUGCCUCGUUCUCGAACGCCGGAGCACGGGCUGAGCAGCAGGAGCGACAGCUAAGGCCAGCCAGUCACUGGAACCACAGGCUGAUGGACGGUUAAGCAGUUGGAGGGGUGCCAGCAGGGCUCAGACAGGUAGGAGCUACGCCAAGGCUGUUCCUCGACCAUCCAUCCUGCAGGAUGACACACCAGCGCCUGCUAGCUUCUAUUAUGGCUCCUUCUCUUCCUCUCCUGAAUAGAGCAAAUUUGAUUUGGCCUCUGCAAAAGCACUUUUCACCACAUAAAAGCUCAUUACUGUGAUGGAAAAGUGGCAUUCAAGGUAAAGCUGGUUGGGUGAAGCGAGGACAACGUGAACAUGGUGAAAACACAGGGCUCACACUUGUUCAGUUAGUAUGAGUGUAUUCUGUUUCUCUCUUCUUGUUCAUGAACUUGUGCCUAGCCAUUUACAGAUUUAUAGUGCAAUAACAGGUUCUUGUACUGCUUUUGUACACUGUUAAGGACUUAAAGGAACACUUCAGUAUUUUCAACUUAAAUAGCUGGUGUGUGGCUGCCGUCACACCAUCCAGGUUGAUGCUACACACUAGUGGUGGUUGAGGUGACACCCCUCCCCCAUACUGUGUAAAGCACUUUGAGAGUCUAGAAAAGCACUAUAUAAAUGUAACUAAAAAAAUGUCUUUAUUCACUGCAUGUGUAUUCAACUCAAAAUAUAUGGAUUAAUACAAAUUUCAACAUAUUUCUCUGUACUGACGAAUGAAAAGAAAACCUGUUUACCUGAAACUCACUUAUAAUGGAAGUCUAAGGGCAGUUGUUCUGGUAGUGAAUAACCCUUUACGUGAAAUACUUUCAUGAAUUCAUCGGUCAAAGCUAUUCAUAAAUUCAGCUCCAAAUGUGUAUAAAUGUGAUUUUAUUUUUUCGGUGAGAAGUACGUCAGAUGCCUCUUAGUUCUGUUCUCAGUACAGGGAGCUGGCUUAAAAUUAUUUUUGCAUAGUUAUCACAUCUACUAUGUAGAGAUUAUCAUUAAAAACCCUGCAGUAUUUCUUUAAUAUAUUUGCUCCAUGUCCAGUACAGUCAGGAACUGGGAGUUGGCAGCAGUCGAUGCAAGUGCAGAUUUAUUAGUGAACGGUGCAAACAAACAACAAAAACACUGAAAACAAGAACCAAAAACUAGAGUUACGAGGCAAAACGUCUGGGUUACGCAUGCAACCCUGUUCUCUGAGAUGGGAACGAGACAUUGCAUGAGCUUCACGCUGUGGGAAGUGCCCUCACGCAUGACCGGUAUCUGAAGUCUGUGUAAAAUCAUAACUAUAAAAUGGUGCCUGUGAACCACGUCAUCAGCCUCUAUUAUCUGAAGCAAAGACGCGAUUCACAGGCAUGCCCCAGUAUGAAAAAGCUAUGCAAUGGCUUAUUCCCUUCUCAGGGAACAGGGUUACAUUUACCCCAGACAUUCCCUUUCAUACUGAGGGUAUGGCUGUCAUGGUGAACUGGAAACUCCUAGAGAGGGCCGUCCAGCAGAGAUAUUAUCUCCAAUAACCAAAUUUGAGCUAGCCAAUCCAGUGCUAUCAGCAGCAGACAUAGCACGGUCUUGGCGAACUCUCACUAGAGCCUGUGGAAGGAGAGUGAUCGGGGGAAAGGCGUACAGAUGUGACCUCAGCCACAUGUGUUCCAUGGUGUCCAGCCCUGUCCUUUUUAUUUAUUUAUUUUUUGGUGCAGGAGGAGUGAGGGCGAAAAACAGCGGGCAGCGUGUUGUCUCCUCAGAAGUGAACACGUCCUCUUCCGCUCGGCCGCACCUCCGCCAUAUGGACUCACCCACUUGUGGAUGGAGCCUCCAGUCCCCAGGCCUCAGCCUCUGCAUCAACAGGAUGUCUGCCCCAACAUUCCAGUAGCCCGGAAUAUACAUUGCACUCACUGACCAAACUUCCCCUCUACCAGAGAAGAAUUAGUUGAGUCUGCCUGAAAAGGGGGCGUGAACGUAAUGCUCCCUGGUGGUUGAUAUAUGAGACCACCGCUGUGUUGUCUAACACAUGGUGACCUCUCAACUGACGAGAAGAAAUUCAGUGCUAGGAGUACAGCCCACACUUCGAGGCGAUUUAUAUGCCACACUAGAUGAGGGCUGCACCACAGACCAUGAGGGAGGUGUCUGACAUUACCGUCUUGUGAUAAGAGAUGCCGCUAGAGUGUGACCUGAGGGACACUUCCUAGUUCUCAGAACAUGUAAAAAUCGCCGCCUGACACUGAUUACUCCCAGGGGUUUCGUCCUCUGAUGAAACCCCCGACCUUCAGCCACAAAUGAACGGUUUCAUGUGCGUUGGGCCCAAUGGUAUGACAUUGGCUGCUGCUGACAUAAGCUCCAACAGUCUCCGUAGAGACUGGAGGGGAUGCCAAGUCUAUCUUGCUCAAUGUUGAUAGGAUUUGCCCUGCGUGUGUUGGGGAUAGACAUGCCCUCAUUGUAUUCGAAUCCCAGCUCUUGUCUGGAGAACCAACUGUUCCUGAGGUUCAACCUGAGCCCCAAGCUCUUCAUGUGGAUGAGAACAACAUCUUGAUGUUGAACUUUUUGGACCGCACUAGAAUUAACCAGUCGUCCAGGUAGUUUAGCACACGGAUAAUCUGGAGUCGCAAAGGAACCAACGCGAAAUCCAUACAUUUCCUGAAGGUGCGAGGGGAUAAAGCUAGCGAAUGGAAGAACCAAUAUUGAUAUGCGUUGCCUCCAAACGAGAACCUCAGGAAUUUCCUGUGACUGGGCAAUGGAAUAUGCACCUUUUUUUAGAUCUAUCCUCACAAACCAAUCCUCAAACUGAGUCUGUGGAACGAUAAGGUUGAGCGUCAACAUCCUGGACCUGUAUGUCCAAAGAUUAUGGAUCAGAUGGCACAGAUCUAAAAUUCUAUAUCCAUAUAUCCCGUCUUUUCUGUGGACUAGGAAAUAACGGCUGUAAAACCCCCCUGCCUCAGAGAAAGAGGUACAUGUUAUAUGGCACCUUUGUCCAAGAGAGAUCCACUUCUUGGGCUAACAUCGGGCUCUGCAUUGUGCUGUCUAUUGUGGGAGGUGUCGAGCUAUGAACUGGGCCCGGAACCCUUUUCUAUGGAAGACAGAACCCAUGGAGACACAUUUGGCUGUAGUUUCCAUGCUGCCAGAUGGUCUCUAGUGACGUUAACUUUCCACAUUUUGUUGGAGGGAAAGCAUCAGAUUUUCCUUGCCCUGUGACAGCUCGCUGACCAGAGAAAACUGAAAACUUGGGACGACAUUGACUAGGGGAGCACUACAGUAAUACUGGGGGCUAACUGUCCUAACAACCUCUCGUCCCCUGAUACCUCCCUCCGCAGCCCUUCAGGACUGCUUCUUUUUGUCUUUUUGGCACUGAUUAUCAUUUAAAAUCAGGCCUACUAGCAGGCUGCAACUGUGGCUGCCCGGUCCCCCUGGCUUUCUGCAGGUGGAGGCAGGCUGCCACACUCACCUUCUGUGCCCCCUAGCAAUUCAGCAGUUCUGCCUGGUAGGCCUGCAACACUGCCAUUUUUGCUGAUACCCACAAGCAAGUCUUGCUGCCAUGUAGGCUUCACCAACCAACGAAUAGGUGGUCUUACACGGCCUGGAUGGCAAAGCUGGCCUCCUGAUUUUGCUGGCAUCGAUGGAGAGAGGUGGCUCGCAAGUGCCUCCUGUACCUUCGGCAUAGCAAAAUAGCUGUAAUGUUUAUCCCCCAUGAUGGCCGAAUAAUCCAACGUCGCAGGGUCAUAAACAGGGAGCUUCCCACAGCGUGAAGUUCAAGCAACGUUGAGUUCCCUUUGAAAGGGAACAUAAAGACUAUGAUAGAGACUAAGGUACACACCAACACACAAAAGCUUGACAACCAGAUGCUGAAACAUAGUCCCUGCGUCCCAAUUGGCAUACAUAAAAGUAUGUACUCUAUUUGUUAAGAAAUUUUCCAAAUUUCAUUCACACCUCUUUAAAAUGCUUCCUUGAAUUUGGUGAAGCAAACCUUCACAAAACUUUUCCUCCCUCGUGCAAGGGAUUAUGGGUAAUAGCUGAAAAAAUGUCCACGGAUCCACACUUCAAAAAUCUACCAUAAAUUGUAGACCAUCCAGGUACUAAUUUCACUAUAUUACCAUUUGGGACACACUAAUUCUGUACACGCUAGUACUGAUAGUAUACCAGUUGGGACGCAGGGAAUGACUUAUAUAACGGUUAUCAGGCUGAGAUGAGACACACGUGUGAGUGAUUGAAAACAUGUGACAUUCCGGUGCUGAUGGAAAGUGUAGUUCAACGCCCUUUGGGUGCCAUCAUGACACUUCACUUUCAGUUAGAGUCCACUCUUGUUAAAUGCUGCACGUUUAAAUUGUAUUACAACUGCCUUCUCUUUCUCUCAUCAGAAUUUUUAUAUUUAUUAUUAAGCUUUAUAUGUGCUUAAAACAACCCUUAAAGGUAAAAUCAACCUUGAACAUUUUGCAUUUUUCUCUUAUUAAUAAUUAACAUGUGAGCUUCAGUGACAUCAAAGAUUGAUUUUGCAAUGAAAUUCUGAGUUGUUUUUUAUUUCUUCAUUAACAUGUUGGUCUGUUUCCUUUUGGUUAACAGUUUCCUUCCCACAAUGCUGUUCAUUUCCAGUACCUGCUGAUAAUGGUGCAGUAGGAUUUAGGCCUUGCUUCAGCUCUAUGUCAGGACUGAUGAAGCAGCACUUCAGUCUUUUAGUCUGUUAGUCUGUUCAGCUCUCUCACCUUCUCACCUUGUACACUCUGCUCAAACAGCUCCAGUUUCAAAGCUUCGAUAUUCAUGCUAAUACCGUUGUCAAUGCCGCCAUGCUUGUCAUCUCAUAGAUCACUAACUAGCCAAAAUGAAUCUCUGACAUAACUUAGCGUAAUUGUUUCGUACAACUGCAUUGCCUUCUGGAACUUUGAGUCCACUUUUUUAUCUUGCUCUUUUGUUUUUAGGUUCAAACUUGAUCGUUUUUCUUUAUGUUUGAGAUUGCUGAAUUUUUUUCUGUGACAUCAGCACUUCACACAACCACUAACUUUCAUGCUCAUGAGAACAACAAUAAUACAGCAUCCACCAAAAAAAAAUCAUCAGAAUUGCUAGGCACAUUACAAAUAUUUUAAUAUAAACAUAUUUAAUGUAGUUUAGGGUGGACAUUUCCUUUAAGCUUUCUGCUAUAGUGAAAUGGUACACCUGUAUAAACAACUAUAGACACCAUAUCACAACUUUGGUAUGUAUUUUGUCUGAAUAGACCUUUGGUUUUCACCAGCAGGAUAGCAAAGACGUGCUUGCUUGGGUAAUAUUGGAGUGAAAUAUAGUAUUUUAGUCAAUGGCUUGUGUCCGGCGCGAUGCCCAGAUGGGUCCGGUGAGACUGACUCAGGCCAGGCAGCCCAUGUCAUUCUGGGCAUGGCCAUGUGGUCAGCCUAGCCAAGAUAUUCCCAUGGUUCACUAGUGCCCGUUUACCAAACAGUGCCAAACCAGCACAGGCCAAGCUUAAUACAGAAUGUGUAUAAGUACAAGCAGCUGUAGGGAAGCUGGCAGCGAGGUGAGGUCCUGCCUCAUGUGAAGGGAUCACUGAGUAACUCCAGGAGAGAGAGAGCGAAAGGGGGGGUUAGAAAACACAGAGGAUCUGGGCCUGGUUGUGCUGGCAGGUUAAAUAUCUCCAGGCUAGGAGUGCAGUGAGGGCAUAUGGCCUGUGGUGAAAAAAAAGAGAAGCCCAGCACACAUGUGGCUUUCACAUCACUGCUCUUUAACUUGCUCUCGCUCUCUUGUGACCAUUAUCUGCUUGGUAUUUGAACCUCCUGCCACCUGCAUUGGCAUGUUGAUUUGCUUCCAGGCUCCUGCAUGGAAGGGCAGUGUCUUCAGUUUUUUUCUUUUUUCACAUUGUUUGUUUGAUGCUGUGAGGAGAUAUGAGCUGAAUGGUUGUCCCUUUCCAAACACAAAGGCUGUAAAAAUUCACCCCCUAUGUGAGGGUUGCCACUGUUUGACCACAAUAUCCACUCCCUUCCUGUAGCCUACUAUACUCAAGGAAGAAUAGCACAAGGAAAGAAAUCUACCUCUUGUAAUUACUAUUAUAAUGAUAAAUGUAAAUACCAAUUAACACAGACAACCAUUCUAGAGUAAUCUGGAACACUCUCAUUGUGAAAUGAGAUGUAGGUUAUGAAGUACCAGGCCAAAGUGGAGCAUCUCCUAGAAGUAGCUUAUUAAAUAAUGCCCAACUAAUUGCUUUGUCUUCCUUUUGUCCUGCUGGUGUACAUGUUAUUAAGCGUGUUUCAUAUAUCUUAGAAUAAUGAGGAAGACACGCCUGGCACCUGCAUGCUGUAAUUAAACAUAUAAAUUCUCUCCUUGCAGAAUUAUUUGUGGUCACGAACUGAUUUAUACAGCUUGCUAAAUUGCAAUGUUGAGCUUAUUUUCUUUCCCUGAAAGAGCUGGAGAAAGGAACCUCAUUCAUCAGGCACCUUUGCCAGAAUAAGCUUCUCUAGAAGCUGACUAUAUAUAAGGAGUACAUGCCCCCCCCCCCCCCCCCCCCCCUUUUCUCUUCCAAGCCAUGCUAAACCACCCUGACAUUCGUCCUUAGGGAAGGCAGGUGAAUAUUUAUCUCUCAAAUAUAAAUGAGACUAAUGUUCAGCUAAUCAUACUGGUCCCUCUGUCAUUCUCUCAGUGAUUAUUUUACAUAAAAUUGAAGGCUGUGUAGUAUAUAUGAGUGUCAUUUCUGACAUGCAGACCUCAUAAAUGAACACAUGUUUGGAUUUUGCAUCGUAGAGUCUCAACUAAUUGAAUUCAUGAUUGAUAUUACUUAAAGAAAUAAUCCAGCCUUUUUUUCAGAUGAAUCUCAUCUCUGUGUGAUUGCAGCAGGCAAGAAUUUCAACACAUUUUGCUGUACUGAGAAAAAUAAGUAAAACAUGUUUAAUUAAAACGUACUUAUAAUGAACAGGAGUUGCUUGGGUAGUCAAUAAAGAUUUCUGCAAAAGAUGCGUUGGCCUGGAAAAACCCUUCACAUGUUGGAAAUUGACAUGUUCAAGGCUUGUUGACUAAAACAUGUUUCUCUUUUAUAUGUAUCUCAACUAGUGGUUGACCGAUACGGGUUUCUUAAUGGCCCAUGCUGAUAUCUAGAAAGCAUUGUGGCCAAUAUAGCAUAAAUUUAAUUGCAGAAAAUUAGAUGUACAGAAAAUUGGUGAAACUAAAUGAGCAUUUAUUGCGCAUAAUAUUUAUGUAAUAUUCUCUGAAGAACUUUACAAAAUAUCCAUUUAAGAAAUUUGUACAUGUACAUUUGUACAUUGUUCAUUAAAAACCCCAUAUCGGUGGACUACUAGUUGAGAUACAUGCAAAAGAGAAACAUGUUUUAGUUCAGCAAGCUUUGAACAUGUCAAAAUAAAUAAGUUUUAUUGCAGCUUCUGCUUGUGUCUUGCUGUCUGUGCCAGCCAUCUAGCAGAACACAGAAAACAUUUUAAUUAAAAAACGUAUGUAUAAUUUGAUUUUCCCGUCACAUAAGUAAUUAGUGCUGCUUUAAUCCAGUAACAGGUUAUUGAUAACAUUUAUAAUUAACUUAAUAAACAAAUCUAACCAAUAGUCAUUAAUGAAACACAAAAAUAGUAAGUGUAAUACAUAAAAAUUUAUUUUAUCUACAAUAUAUAGCUAUUCAUACAUCUCAUAUAGUUACUUUAAGCAGUAACAGGUUGUUUUACUUUCUUAAGUCAAAGUAUAGGACAUUAUUUGAAUAAUACAUAUUUAUGUCUGUUGUGUUUUGAUUAUCUGCCUCUUUGUAAAAAUAAUACAAGCCCGCAUGACAAAAGGUUUAUGUUUCUUACCAUUACAUGAUUAGUUAGUAGCAUGUAGCUUAGCAUCAAAAAAGAUUGGAACACAUGAAAAUGUGCACUACACAUGAUAUUGAAUUAAUCGUGGAUUAAUAUAACACUAAACCAUACAAUGUUCAGGGUUCAUCCAGCUCAAAUGACCAAGCUUUCAUUCGGGAUACACAGGCUUUUGAGUCCCAGUAAAACAAUGUUUAAAAGUUACAGAAGACAACAUGUGUCUCUAAGGAAGAACCAGUCACAGGAUUUGUGAUUGUUUGUGAGGUAAAAUGUUUUCAGAUUUGUUUGAAUUUGUUUAUUGCACGUCUCUGUGUCUCUGCCGGAGCUCACCAUGAGCUUGUUCACUAGCGCUGGGCUGCGGAUCUAACUUCUCACGGUACUGUUUGAAUAAGACUUUGUUGCACGCCAUAGCGUUGUUGUGAGUAACAUUGCAUAAUGGCACAUUAAAAAGCAAAUGAAGACUGGUCAUUUUACUGUCUGUUAGAUGCUCUCGUCAUGUCUGAGUGGGCUUUUUUUUUUGCCAGAAUUAUGAAGAAUGCGCUAUAAUGGUGUCAAAAGUUCGGCUUGUCACUUUUCAGCCGAAUGGGAAGAUUUAUCGAUGGCGAUGCCUUGGCGAUAUAUCGGUCAACCACUAAUCUCAACCACAAGUAAAGUUAACACAUUCUACCCAAAAGUGAAAUGGGAGAAAAUUGCGUUUAAAGUUUCCAUUCUGACUGCAGCACAGGAGCAUGUGGGACAUUUCUGCAGCUGGUAUCUGAUGUGUAAUGUUUGGAUGAUUUGGACUGAUCGAGAUGAAUCAAUGUAACGAUCAUAAAUUGUUUAGAGAUCAAUUAGAACUGAUUAUGAAUUAUUGAUUAUUAUUGAAAAAAGACAGGCAACUGAUAUGUAAAAAAAUCAUUCAUGGUUUUUAAAUUGAUGUGUAAAUGAUUUAAUAGCCUAGCAAAAUGAUUUGCUUGUAACUGAUAAACUAGUUAAACUAGUUUUCUCUACAUCGUCAUCAUUUAGAAAUAAACGAUAGGCCUUCUCUUGAUUUAGAAAAAAAAAUUGGUCUAUAUAUAUAGAUCUUCUAAAUUGAAUCACAUUGUAUUGUAUUGUAGCAGAUUCAGUGUUCUCAUCAAAUACCGUAUCAAAUCAUUGCUCUAUGAACCAAAAUCGUAUUGUAUUGUGUAGAAGUGUGAUGUUUACACCGCAAUUACAAAUGGAAUUGAUUAGGCUUAUGUCCAUUUUGAUAUGGCAGGUACAGUAACUAUCCAACAAUGAAAGUGUGACAUUCAUUGCACGAUUAAAUCAGGUGUCGAGGUUUUAGACAUAUUUUUGUAGUCUAACUGUUUUUACAACUGCCUUUGUAUACUUAUUUACCCAAUGUGAUCUUUGCAGAAAGGCUAGGCAAGAUUAAAAAGUAAAAACAACAACAUUUCCAUGCUGUCCUGGUUAAAUAUAUUUAUGGUUGUGGUGUAAAAAUAUAUUUAACAACAGUUAGUUCUGGUCCACAAAUUUGAUUGGGACAAGUGGUGUUCUAAGAGUGCUGAUAUUUACUAUAAUAUAACUGGUACUGGUUUAUAUCACUCCACUUAUCUGUGUUCACUACAUAAAACUUCCAGUUCAAGUAAUACUUCAAAUCUUUUGAAACGGUUAUUACAUUUACUACGAGCUGUCAGUCACACAAUGCUCUAUCCAGCUGUGCCUUCUUUAGGAACUAUUUUUCGUUGACUGAGAAAAAUAUACAAAAUAUUUGGCCACAUUGUGCCUGAAAUGUCAGUUACUGGAUAAGAAUUUGUUGUUUGUAGAUCUGUUGUAUUAAAGCAAGAUCACACUCUCAGUUAUAAUGUUCUAGUAAAUAUCAGCACAGCUGUGAUUACCUGAAGCCUCAUGCUUAUGGCCAAAUCACAGCUGUGCUAAUAUUUACUACAACAGCACUCAUGUUCAUGUUAUAUUGCUUAAGGCUAAACUCAGAUUUUUUUUAAAAAAAAAUGUAUUUAUUUAUUUAUUUAUUUAUUUUUGCGGAAUUCAGCCACAGUGACAUCCGACUUGUUUUUCCCCACACGUAGUCUUGUGCACCAUGGUCCUGGAGAAACGACAUUUUGUUCCAAUGUAUACAAGCUAUAUAGAAGAACUGACAAAAACCCACUUGACUUGACUUUUGCAGAAUGGUUUCAAAGGUGUUUGCAAAUCAAGCUUUACAUCUGUAUUAUUUGUCCUUUAACUUUUUCAGAAGGAAGAAUUUGUGCCUAUGUGUAAACCAGUAUAAACACAUACUGUUUAGUAUACAGAAAAUUGUGCAGGUUUGUGCCUGAUCAUGCAUGCGAAGCACAUGAUCUUAUGAAAAGCGUACAUAAAUGGAUUUUAUUGCUCCAGAGUUUGCCCCGUUUUGAUCAGACAUUCUCUCAUGUCUGCCUUAUGUUUGUUGAAGUGUUUAUAGACUUCCAUUAUAAGUGAAUUUGCUGUUUUGUUCUCAGUUCAGGAAAACAUGUUGAUUUUCUUGACCAUGUUAAUGAUAAUUACACUACAGAUGCACCACAUAGAGAUUAUGCUGAGAAAUACUAAGUGUUCUGUUAACAGUCUGAAGGGAGGGUUUUUUUAUUUAUUUAUUUUAUUUAAAUGUGAGCCCUGAAGGUGGACACUGUCCAAAAACACAACAGAAUGUUACUGUACACACAGUAUGAUGCGCUCCAUCAUGCCAGUGUCUGUGCAGUACCAACUGUUGUAAAGAAUUGCAGGGGAUUGUAUGUGGUUGCCAGGUCCUCCAUUAUUAUUACCUAAAUCUCCACAGUCAGUCAUCAAGUAGCUUUGAUAAUUUGCUAAAGCAGCCUGCUGACACAACAGGUGCUGUGUUUUGAACAUUUACUUUCACUGCUGUCUGCGAUUUAUUAUGUCAGCAAGAGAUAUUAAUUGAUCAAAUCUCAGUGAAGUGGAGGAUCUGUAGAGGCUCUUUCACUUAGUGAUUUGAGCUAUUCUUACACAACUCUGGACUAGGCUCAUAUUUUCUUUCCUACUGUAUUGUUAUCUUUUCCUCUGUUUUUUUUUUUUUUUUGCCUCCCCAAAAUACAGUCUUUGCAUAGAGUUUGCUUCGUAAUUCAUGCUUUUGUGAGGGGGAGCAUGAAACCGGAGAAAGAUUUAGUCAAGAAGUUGGAGUUGAACUAAAUGAUGAAAAUCUCUAUGAGCACAGGCAAUCUCCAGGACUGAAGAGGAGAAUAAUGCACAGUUGAUGAUUUCCAGUGUGUUCAGUCUUGCCAUCGUCUUGAAGAAUGAUGCUAUUGUGCUUUUGCAACUUUGAGAAAGAAAAAUGUGAACUGUGCGCAGAAAAAAUAAAAAAAAAAUCUGCCCCACCAACAGAAACAGCAGACAAGCCACAUGAUAAGUGGAAGUAACUGUCAACAAGGCCAGUACGGGCUCCUGUUUCCUCACUCAAGGCAUGAGUUUAUACCAUGCAAUACACUGUUUUGUGUGUGUGUGUGUGUGUGUGUGUGUGUGUGUGUGUACAUGUCAGGGUAUGUGCAUGUAUGUCAUGGCUAAUACAGGCCUGGCUGAUGAUGGUAUUGCCUCCUCUGUCUCACUUUCACUGCCGGGUAAUUACACUGAAAUGAGAUGUUUCUGUGUUAAUUGCACAGUUUAGUUACUGCGAUGUCAGAGAUGGAGUUGGGAAAUCUUGUUCACCUGAUGAUGCAAGAUAAACCCUGCAUCCCUUCUCUCUUUUUUUUCUUAUUUCUUAUUUCCUUACUUUUUCUUGAUUUUGAUCGCAUUCUCUCUCUCUCUUUUUUUUUUUUUGGUUUUAUAUUGUUUAAUUCUUUCUAUUUUCCUGUUUUAGUUUUUUUUGCCAAGUCCUGCUGCUUUUAUUACAUUCCUGACACUUUUGUUAAUAAAUCAUUGCAAAGUUAAUGAAAAUAGCAUUCAGGCAUAUCCAAAAUGAUUGUGUCUUUUGUCAUGCUAAUAAAUUGAAAGCUGUUGGUCAAAUGGGUGAAUGCCUGCACAUUACGGACAAGUUUUUGAUGUGUGUCUGCUGAACCGCUCAUUUUCUUCUUCUCUUUUUCUCUGUGUUGUUCAUUGGUCAGAACGAUUUUUUUCGCAUCUACAUUUGGAUUUUUUUAUUUAAAAAAAAAAAAUAAAACUAUUUAUUCAUUUUCUGACCACAGGACUGCUGUUAGCUGGAUGUUUUUCAUUAUUUUCAUAGCUCAUUAUUUUCAGCCUAGAAGACUUUUUAGAUUUCAUUUUUAAAUUUUAAUUCAUUUGUUACAUUUGAAUUGAUAAAAAUGAAUUUGUUUAAUGUAUUUCUACCCCAAGUAUUGCUGUUUAUCACAUUUUUCAACAUUUUUUAAAUACAUUUUUUUUUACACGACUGCUGUUAGAAGACAUUUUUUGAUGAUCGAAUUAUAUUUAACCCAGAAAACAACAACGGUACACCAUAGUCCGGAUGCAUCUGUGCCAGUGUUGUGUCAGUACUGUUGCUGUGCUGCCAUAGAUCUGGUCAGCAGUAGAGUUAUGGUGGUCUCUUACAUUACUUAUAGGGUACACAUAACUAAUAAAACUACCAAUUUUCAGUUUUUCAUACUUUUUUCUUCAUCUGGUCUUGAUUCCACAUGCUGGAAACCUCACAUUGUUUUGCAUUUGUUUAUUUAAUAUGCUGACCUUUAGCUUGGUGCAAAUUCAAACAUCUCAGCCAUGGUAAGUCUUACAUUUUGUGCAUUUCAUUUUGAUAAGCACUUUCUUAUUUCUUUGUCACAGCCUCAGUUGGUACCAGGCAGGUCUUAUCUUUCUCUGUGUUUUGUAGAUACUGAGCAGUGGCAGCCUCUCUGUGGAUGUUUUACAAAUCUGAAUGUGGAAAAAAAAAAAAAAAAAGAAUGGAAUAUUUGAUAGCCUUCUAUAAUGGCUCUGAAAUCUCUGUCAUUAUCUACUAUCAGAUGUGGCUUUUAAAAGCGUCGGGAGUUGCAGGCAUUUUACAUGAAUUUCAACUCGGACCGGUUAUUGAGAGCAGAAUACAUUUAGCAGGUCAGUCUAACAGGUUCUACUGUGCUUGCUUUACUCACACAAGUACUGUGGCACAACAGCACCGAACAAAAAAACGCACCUGUCACACUGCCACUCGUGGUCACGGUAUUGCGAAUGCAUGUGGAAUAUCUAAGAAUCCGAAACUCAUUUAGGAAAAAAGAAGAACAAAAAAAGUAGAGCUGCUUGUAAGAGAGUUUUAAUGUGAGAACUGUGAAAAAACCUGAGUUUAUAUAAUGACUCAUCGAGGCAGAAGCCAUAAAAAGUAUGAAAUGUCUAUCAAGCAGAGCCAGAUGGUUUAUAUUUAAAAUGACUGAUGGUUUUAAUCUAGUUUCUGCUCAUGUCUGAAAACGAGCUGUUUGUUGAUUCUUGCUUCUAAUUCAUCUGAUGGCUGAUGGGGUAUGGCUGUUUGGACAAUGUGCAAGUUGUGUGUGCGUGUUGUCAAGCUUAAAUAUGUCUUCAUGUGGAGAAAGGACUGCACUGGAAGUACAGGUCAUCUGCAUCCGAUUCGAUUAGUAGGCUUAAUGUUUUAUUAGGGAGGUGAGAGAGGGAUAAUUAAAGAGGCCUUAUGGGGGCCUGAGGGGACAUCUGUUUGCCUCGGAGCCUUAGGGUCAGACGCUGAGACUCUGGGCUGAGACUGGAGGCAGCAUGAGAGCGGAUUUCCUCUCUGCACUGUGCUGAACCACAACACAGCAGGCUCCGCUCAGACACCGACACACAGCAAAUUAAACGACUAUCUCAACUUCAUUAGCGGAAUAAUAAUGGGCUCAGCCUGAGAGCUGCUUUAUUGCCCAUCCACAAACGCAUUCUCGACCACCAUGCAUCCUCAUAAGCGCGCGCCAACGAGAAAAUACUUUCUUGCCGUUCGGUAUAAACAUAACGGACAAAACAAUAGUGCUUGGUUUUCACGUACAUCCAAAAAAAGUACCCUGCUUCCCCAGGCAAGUUUUCCUGCGUGCACCUUGGAUCACACAUGGAGAUGUGAUGCCAAGAUUUGUGCCUGUGUAACGGGCAUGACGUGACCCGUGGGGUGUGUGGGUUACCCGGAUCAGGCAGCGCUUUAGUCUAUGGGUCAGUUCUUCCCACAAAUCGCACCUCAAUAGUCUAAGCCCACAGCCUAAAAUAACUUUAAAGCGUAUGUGCCUUGUGGGAAAUGUCUCUGAACCGAAGACUAGUCCUAUUAAAAAUCGCCUAAAACUGAGCAUGAGGAUGAAAAGGAAUGAACUAUGGGGUUGUGGUAUUGAUGUGUAUGUGUGGAAAAUGAACAGAUUUUUUUGCAGUGGAAGAAGCCCUGCUCACCUAUUGAUUCGAAAAAGGAAAAUGUAGAAAUAGACUCAGUAAAUCUGGAACUACUUAACAGGUUAACAGCAACCAUCUUUUUUACGCAAAGUCCUCCAAUAUUGCAGCAUUGAUGUUGCGAAGAGGAGCAGUAAACCAAAUGGAGGCUAUUGGCUGCAUCUGUCUGUGCCAUACUGCCUGAAUUACAGUGUUUGUACAGAUCAAUAUACAAAGGCAAUAAUCCUUAUUAUUAUCUCAUAAUAAAUAGUAAUCCUCACAACGCUUGUAUUUGCAAUUUCUGAGGAAAUGGUGGAUAAUAUUGCUUGAAGAAUGAUAGCGUUUGUAUAGCUGCAUCAUAUGAUUGUUUUGCUACGAUUGUAACUAGUUGAGCUUUGUUGCUGUAUAACUGCCGUACAGUAUGUCAUCGUAGAAACAGAAAGGCAGAUGCGAGGGUUAGGGAGCACUGCACCAGAAGUGUGUGCAUGUGUGUCACACACCUCAGCAUGCUAAACAACCUCUCGCAGCUCUCUACUCUCCCAAGUGCAUACUAGGUGCACUAGCGACAUUAUCAUAACAAAAAGAAUGAGUGGGCUUUGUUCUGCUCUCAUUCUUCUUUUACGCUGUGAAGUGUGGACACCAAACCUACUGCCCAGUACAAUAUUAGCAUUAGCAUCUUAAGCUCCUCACUCUAUCUCUCUCCUGAAGCUAUGCUGUAUAUUAAUUCUGGUCUUCAAAGUGUCAAGGCAUGACACCUUGGCAGAGAGCAUCUGCAUUCCAAGGAGAGAAAGAAUGACACUAACCAAAAAGCCUGUUCAGCUAUUCCUCUGAGACAGGAGCUAUAAGGAAAUAUUAAGAGCUGUUAAACACACACACACACACACACACACACACACACACACACACACACACACACACACACACAGGAGAGUCUGAGAUGCUUAGAAAGUGUGUCUUAAAAAAAGAAAUAAGUGCAGCACAAACAAUCAAGCAGACCUUGAUGCACAUUGUUAUUUUACCAGGAAACUCCUGUCCAAUGGUUGUUCAGUUCUGGAGCCUGUUCUCAUCUGUUCCAUUCUCUGUGCCCGGGAAAGCAGGAGCACUGUAUAUAAGGGACAGAUGGAGGGGUGGAGCGAGGAUGAAUGUGCCGAGGACGAGUGGAGUGCUAGAGGUUGGAUUGAUGGACCCUCAGUCUGUACCGAGAGACUGUGUAGGAGGAAGAGGAGCGUGGAGGCUACAUGUUGAUUGACAAGCCGUUGUGACAAUCAAUACCGAGGGCAGUGCAUUGAAGAGCGCACUAAGGUUUCUCAGCCAGGCAGAAUUCAGCUUCCAGUGAUCAAAUAGCACUCAGAAACGACAGGAAUCACAACGCUGUAACAAUUAUUCCUGUGGCAGAAUCAGGUGAAGAAAGGAGAUCUCUCUUGUUGAGGAGGGAAGGGAGAAGGUGAUGAGAAAUAUGAUUGUAAUUAAUGAGUCGCCAGAAUGGGGAGUCCCAGAUGGAAAGGCUUAGGCACUCGGCAUGAUCGUGCAUCCGUGGCUUAGCUGUAAGAUAUACCUGGCCACACGCUCGACUCUCUGAAGUGGCUAGUUAGCAUAACGCAUCUCCUGUUGUUUGUGUUCUGGGGGAGCAGGCCUGCUCCGCUGGCGCUCACCAGAGACUUGUUUUGUAAGAUUAAUGAAGGUCACCGAUAUCCUCAGAAGUAUUCUGAUAAUUAAGGCUUUGUUUAUCAAAAACAAGUUAUAUUAAGAGCAAAAAAGAUUCAUGGUAAUUAUUCAUAAUCUUAACAAUUCAAGUGUAGCCACCUCAUUUGUGCAUUUAAUUCUUCUUGUUAAUGUUUUGCAUAAAUCUGCAUAAUUACUUGAGAUGCUUGUUGUAAUUUUGACAGCUACUCGGCUCCUGUGCACUAAAGUAUGGCGAACACUUCAUGCGCUGCAUACUUAUAAACGGAUGUACGGUCCUGGCAGAAUGCUGCUCAGGCCGCUUUUUCUUCCUCUUUACCCCUGAUGUGGCUGUUUAUAGCAAAUAUGAGAAAUGAAAGGUUUGGGCCAUGGUGGGAGAAAGAGAACAGAAUGAUUAGGUUUUAUGACCGAGGCGUUGCUGUAAUCACGCCGACCAAAAAAAAUAAAAUAAUCACAAACAAAACAAAUGAUAGCAUAAUUCUAUAAAUCCCCACCACAAAUGGCCAGUUUUCCCUUUGCUGUAUGCCCAGAUCUGUCUGUGAAGAGAAAAGGCUACUGUGCUUUCUAAUCACACACUAAUUUCUGGCAAAAUAAUGGACAUGUAAAUGGAGGCAGAAUGGUAAUGCAAGUCUAGAGUUUACAUAAUCUUGUAAUGACCUCUUGUAUUACACUGUCUGUGAUAUUGCCUUUAAUUUGUUAGCUGCUGAUCUUAAAAGGGGGUGGGGGGGGGAUCAAGAACAGCGGCUUACGAAAUUAAAUUUGGAGUGCGGCCGGGCCUAUUAGCACUCUGACAUGAAUGAUAUAAUUUCCCACUCUUUUUUGUAUGCACCCACACACACAUAGUGUUUGGCCAGCUGUUUAGUAUUCACCAAACAGCAGAAAUAAUGCUCUCAUCACUGGCCUGGACCUUGAUGAUACUUUUAAACACAUGCACGCUGUGGGUUCACAAGUUACCGCCGUUAGAAUUCAUCUCGACUGCCUGAGUCGCUACAAUAGCAGAAUGCGGAAUACUCUGUGUGUCCUCUUGAGAAUAACGAUUGACGAUUACUUCCUUAUGAGCUGCAUCGGUGUCCAGUGUCCAUUCAUUACGUCUCUCAGAUAGUUUUAGACAGGUCGUGCUUAACAAGUAGUCCCACAAGUUCAGUCCUGCAGGGCAGAGCUUAGGAACACCUAUGUUUUGCAUGACUGCAAACAUGCCAGUGGUGCUACUAUGCAUCACACACUUCAUAUUGAAACUCCUUCCUUGGCCUUGGUCUUACCUUCACCCCUGUCUAGCACUUCCUGUUGUGCCCGUGUUCAGUGUGCGCUGAUGUGCGUAAGGCUCCUUCACGGCACCCUGAGCCGAGCACAGAUCUGUGGAGGCCUGCGCGAUACCGGAGGACCAUGUGGCAUCUCGUGUUAAUUGAAAGUUGUCUAAUGAAGUAAACUUGGGGGGGGGGUUUGCGCUGAGAGACAAAGAGAGGGCAAGAAAAAAAAUCUUAACUUUCUUUAAUUAUGUUUACCCAACAGGCCUUGCCUUCUAAUUUAAAUAGCAUAAACAUCUGGACUGGUGCAGCAUUAGAAUCGUGGCAGUAGUCAAGCAAAUCUUGUGGAAAAUAAUGAAAUUAGAUCCCUGGUGUUGUGACAGAGGAAGGGCAGGAUACAUCAGCUCCAUGUUAAUAAAAUUUCCAUGAAUGACUGAAUACAAUUAAGAAAUUGUCAGUUGUGGCUGUGAACUUUUGUAACUCGUAGAUGUUUGCAUCAUCUGAUUAUGGUGCCAAUUUGGAAUUGUUUAUUAGUGCCUGUAUAGGGGUAUUAAUUAUGACCUCUCUUAUUGGCUAUUAAAGCUGCCCCAGGAGCAUGGCGAGAGGGAUGAGCUAAGUGCUGCGCUGCACGACUCCACUGGGAUUUUAGCUUUUAUGCUCUCCCUUAUUCGCUUAUUCCUGGCUGUACUGCAAAGACCUAUGCUCACAUAAUGUCUCACAGAGUGUUAUUAUUCAUAAAAUAGUGUUAUGGCUCAAUUAUAUUUACAAAUACAUGUUGUACAUUUAUGUGGUAAGUUUACAUUCAUAACUGAGUCAGCAUAGGCAUAGACAUAGAGCAGAUUAUCAGGAAUGGCUAAUACAAUAAAAUUAUUAUCAAUUUUUUAACUUAUUUGACACAUAACAUUUAGGAAUAUGUUUUUCAAAACUGUAGCAGAACAUUUAUUACAUUUCUGUGAAAAUUUCUUAUAUGAAAUUAUAAUAUAAUGUAUAUAAACAAUUAAUAUACACUGUGGGAUGCCAUAUAGGUCUGAGACUGAUGUAAGGAAUAGGAUAUUGAAAUUAAUCAGCAGUGGGGUGGUACUAUGUGUUAUCACACCGAAAUUGAUUAUUUUCCUAGCACAGCAUAUCCUGAAGGGUUUCACUCAUUUUGUACCUGAGCAAUUUUCCAAUUAUUACAAUGAAUAAUUAAUUUAAGACCAACAUGUACCUUUUAUCUGAUUUUAGUUACGCUUAAUGCUGUUGAACGUCCCUGAAACCAGGUAGGUCAAGUAUAAACAGUCAGCCCCUCACUUGCCUCUCAUUUUUGCUCUCUUUUCUAGAAAAUGAAUAAAUAAACAGAUUCUGACCAAUCAGAAUCGAGCAUUCCAUAGUACUGUGCUGGGUAUUCAUAGUAUUUGUAAAAUGCUACAGUAUGAAGUAGCUGAACUGAAUGGUGAAAACUGAAUGUUCUCUCAUUAUCCACAUUAAAGUAUUUAUAUUAGUAGAUCUAAAAUAGAAAGUUUUGACUGUAGUAUGAUAAUUUUUUAAGUCACUAUUGUUCUACUACCCCCUGAAAGCAAACUUAAAACUGUGAUAAUACAUCAAGU